AACCAUAGAAACCUGCGGAGUACCUGCGGAGGGAUCAUUACCGAGUUUACAACUCCCAAACCCCUGUGAACAUACCUAUACGUUGCCUCGGCGGAUCAGCCCGCGCCCCGUAAAAAGGGACGGCCCGCCCGAGGACCCCUAAACUCUGUUUUUAGUGGAACUUCUGAGUAAAACAAACAAAUAAAUCAAAACUUUUAACAAUGGAUCU
rnacentral:misc_RNA from 1 species